AAAACCACAGUAAAACAAUAAUUACCAAGCUGAAAUCGAUAAAGUGAUUUGUAUUUCGGUGCAAUCUUUAAUCUGAUUUAAACAUCUAGUUUUGGAAAGUCACCAAAGAUUAAAUAAUUGUAGGCUUUGAAUAUGAUACAAUCUCGAGAUGGCUGGAGAGUAUAACCAGCGCACGGUUAAUGCUAAUUAAGUAAUGGCUCUUCGGGGAGGCAUUGCGAAGGGUUCACAUUAAUUAAUUAAUGACCAUUCAGCCUCUCGAUAUAUUAAACUUGAUCGGUUUGAAUCUUUGAAUGGAUGUUGUCUGUUUUAGAAUGACGUAGUCAAUAUUUUGAGUUGAACGUGAUUUAGUUACGAAAGAUGCUUCUGGCUUUCUAAUUUGGAUGCUAAUCUUCUUAUUUUAUAUAUAAAAAUUAAUUGCUGUUCGUUAGUCUCGCUAAAACUCGAGAACGGCUGGACCGAUUUGGCUAAUUUUGGUCUUGAAUUAUUUGUGGAAGUCCAGAGGAGGUUUAAAAGAUUAUUAGAUUGUUUUACUUUUGAAAGAGAAAAAAUAUAUCAAAAUAUACAGUUUUAAUUUAUUUUUCGCCUAAAUCCAUUAUGUUUUGGGUUAGCGUUUAAACAUUAUAAUAAUUUCUACAUUACCUAUUUUUCCUAUAGUGGAACCGAGUUUAUUUUCAUGUUGUUUUUAUUUUUAGCUUUAAUUUCAUCACUAGAAUAUAACUAAAUGUAUUAUUGUUUGCUGCAUUUAUUAUUGUAGUUUAUGUAAAUACGUUGUUUUGAAAGUGAUAUUUUGCAUGUAAAUUAAUGAAAGUAAACAUAAUAAAUAAACAAAAUUA